rnacentral:rRNA from 1 species
GAUGAACGCUGGCGGCGUGCCUAAUACAUGCAAGUCGAGCGAACAGACGAGGAGCUUGCUCCUCUGACGUUAGCGGCGGACGGGUGAGUAACACGUGGAUAACCUACCUAUAAGACUGGGAUAACUUCGGGAAACCGGAGCUAAUACCGGAUAAUAUAUUGAACCGCAUGGUUCAAUAGUGAAAGACGGUUUUGCUGUCACUUAUAGAUGGAUCCGCGCCGCAUUAGCUAGUUGGUAAGGUAACGGCUUACCAAGGCGACGAUGCGUAGCCGACGUGAGAGGGUGAUCGGCCACACUGGAACUGAGACACGGUCCAGACUCCUACGGGAGGCAGCAGUAGGGAAUCUGCCGCAAUGGGCGAAAGCCUGACGGAGCAACGCCGCGUGAGUGAUGAAGGUCUUCGGAUCGUAAAACUCUGUUAUUAGGGAAGAACAAAUGUGUAAGUAACUAUGCACGUCUUGACGGUACCUAAUCAGAAAGCCACGGCUAACUACGUG